rnacentral:rRNA from 1 species
CCUACGGGAGGCAGCAGUAGGGAAUCUUCCACAAUGGGCGAAAGCCUGAUGGAGCACCGCCGCGUGGGUGAAGAAGGUCUUCGGAUCGUAAAACCCUGUUGUUAGAGAAGAAAGUGCGUGAGAGUAACUGUUCACGUUUCGACGGUAUCUAACCAGAAAGCCACGGCUAACUACGUGCCAGCAGCCGCGGUAAUACGUAGGUGGCAAGCGUUAUCCGGAUUUAUUGGGCGUAAAGGGAACGCAGGCGGUCUUUUACGUCUGAUGUGAAAGCCUUCGGCUUAACCGGAGUAGUGCAUUGGAAACUGGGAGACGUGAGUGCAGAAGAGGAGAGUGGAACUACAUGUGUAGCGGUGAAAUGCGUAGAUAUAUGGAAGAACACCAGUGGCGAAAGCGGCUCUCUGGUCUGUAACUGACGCUGAGGUUCGAAAGCGUGGGUAGCAAACAGGAUUAGAUACCCUUGUAGUC